AUUGAACGCUGGCGGCAGGCCUAACACAUGCAAGUCGAGCGAGCGGCGGACGGGUGAGUAAUGUAUGGGGACUGCCUGAUAGAGGGGGAUAACUACUGGAAACGGUGGCUAAUACCGCAUACUAUCGGAUAACCCAUAUGGGAUUAGCUAGUAGGUGGGGUAAAGGCUUACCUAGGCGACGAUCCCUAGCUGGUCUGAGAGGAUGAUAAGCCACACUGGGACUGAGACACGGCCCAGACUCCUACGGAGGCAGCAGUGGGGAAUUUUGCACAAUGGGCGCAAGCCUGAUGCAGCCAUGCCGCGUGUAUGAAGAAGGCCUUAGGGUUGUAAAGUACUUUCAGCCGGGAGGCGUUACCCGCAGAAGAAGCACCGGCUAACUCCGUGCCAGCAGCCGCGGUAAUUC
rnacentral:rRNA from 1 species